rnacentral:lncRNA from 1 species
UUGGAUCCAUGAAAUUUCCAUGUCAAAGACAUGGGGACACAGCAAAAUCUCAUAUUUCUUAAUGUAUUAUUUUAAUUUUUUUGGGGUGAAUUUUGUUUAGAAGGUAUCAUAGAGUAUUUAAUGCAUAUAAUUACAGUUGUAUUACUAAAUAUGCUUCCUUAGUGAAUGUCCAAUUAAAAUUUCAUACAUAUAUCUCGUAACAUACCCAACUGUCGAGUAUCCAACACGGUACUCCUCACUAUUCAACUUUUUAAAUAUGUAGCAAAGAUUUAGAGCCAUUGAAUCUCGAGUAGGCCUGGGACUUAUUAGAAGUCUGCUCCAUUCCAAGGUCUUUCAUGUUCAAAACCUCCUAGGUGCAAUCAAUUCCCGAGUUGGGCCAGUCCAUACGGGACGUUGCCCCCGGCUUUAAUCAGGCCUCACACUAGUGGACAGUGGGAUUUGUCCAUCAGAUUAGUCGGUUCUUAGGCUGGAUAGCAAGUUGUCAACAAUAGUUAUUGAUACCCUAGAUCUUCUCAGUUUUUUUCGCUCUAUAUAUCGGCAAUUCCUACAAUAUGAGCUUCUGAGGAUGUUUCCUGCAUUUCUUUUUCUGCAUGUUUAUUAUUGUUUCAAACUAACGAUCCUUCUAAUUUUAGGUAAAUUUUCUUGUUCA